GCACUGGUGGCUCAGUGGGAGAAUUUUCGUUUUCCAUGUGAGAAACCUGGGUUCGACUCCCAGCCAAUGCC
rnacentral:tRNA from 1 species